GGAUUUCUGUGGUCGGAAACAAGGACAGAGGCAUGGAGCACACCACUGGCAGCAUGGUGUCCCAAAGUCAGGUGUUGAUCAUGGAGCUGCCAAACAGAAGAGACAUGAGUUAGUAAGCAAGACUACUAAAUGCUGUGGCUAUGCCUUAAAAACUGCUGGUGAACAAGGUGUUUCUUUGUAUGUAUACUCGCUGAUGACAGUUUGCUUUGGAAAGGAAAGCUCCUUGCCCAGCUCCUUUUACAGACCUCAAGACCCUAAGCACAACUGAAGUCUUGAUGAAAGUACCAUUUAGACCUUAGAACCCAGCAGGUAGGCAGCAGCACCUACCAGCAGGAAAACAGAUCCAUCAAAAUCCAUACCUUGGGGAAGUUGCCUGAUUGACUGACAAGUGGUGACUGUGAGAUGCACAGGGAACAGAUGGAGCAGCUGGU
rnacentral:lncRNA from 1 species